AGUGAUGCUCGCUAAGGGCAUCUUUNGGCACCUCUAAAAAUGGUGCAGAAUAAGGGGUGGGCAAGUCUGGUGUCAGCCGCCGCGGUAAUACCAGCACCCCGAGUGGUCGGGACGAUUAUUGGGCCUAAAGCAUCCGUAGCUUGUUCUGCAAGUCCUCCGUUAAAUCCACCUGCUCAACAGAUGGGCUGCGGAGGAUACUACAGGGCUAGGAGGCGGGAGAGGCACCCGGUACUCAGUGGGUAGGGGUAAAUCCUCUGAUCCACUGAAGACCACCAGUGGCGAAGGCGGCUUGCCAGAACGCGCUCGACGGUGAGGGAUGAAAGCUGGGGGAGCAAACCGGAUUAGAUACCCGGGUAGUCCCAGCUGUAAACGAUGCAGACUCGGUGAUGGGUUGGCUUUGCG
rnacentral:rRNA from 1 species